GUACGAAACAGAAGAAAAGGUACGCUCAAAUGUUUAGUAAAAUGGAUAAUAACAAAUGUUAACCCCAACAUUCUUGAUUUAACUGAAAUUAUGAAUAUUGUUUGUGUACUUGAAGUGCUUGAAAUUGGCAAAUUGCUGAUUCAAAAAAUUGAAAAUAAACUUUUAGAUGUCGACGUAAUCAUGAUUGCUGCAAUACAGAAGUAUUGGGAGGGGGAGC
rnacentral:lncRNA from 1 species